ensembl:snRNA
AUUUUUUAUGACUGUAGAGAGGUCAAUAUUUCUCUUGUGAAGAAAAGUAAAGGUCUUCAGCCUCAUAGGACACACAUAUGGUUAAGGCCUUGCCAUAUUCUUGGUGUCAUGUAACUGUGGUGUUUC